GCAGCAGUCGCGAAAACUCCGCAAUGCGCGAAAGCGUGACGGGGCUACCCCGAGUGCCGUCCGCUGAGGAUGGCUUUUCCCCAGUGUAAAGAGCCGGGGGAAUAAGGAGAGGGCAAGUCUGGUGUCAGCCGCCGCGGUAAUACCAGCUCUCCGAGUGGUAGGGACGAUUAUUGGGCUUAAAGCGUCCGUAGCCGGCUUAGCAAGUCUCCUGUUAAAUUCAGCGACUUAAUCGUUGGACUGCGGGAGAUACUGCUAGGCUAGGAGGCGGGAGAGGCCGACGGUAUUCUCAGUGUAGGGGUGAAAUCCUAUAAUCUCGGGAGGAACACCAG
rnacentral:rRNA from 1 species